AUGCAUGUCUAAGUACAAGCCCAGUUAAGGUGAAACCGCGAAUGGCUCAUUAAAUCAGCUAUGAUUCAUUGGAUCUGUACCCACACAUACUUGGAUAACUGUGGUAAUUCUAGAGCUAAUACAUGCACCACGUCUCUGACCGCAAGGGAAGAGCGCUUUUAUUAGUUCAAAACCGGUCGGGCCUCGGUCCGUCACCAAACCGUGUUGAAUCUGGAUAACUUACAGCUGAGCGCACGGCCCUCGCGCCGGCGCUAUCCCCUUCAAGUGACUGACUUAUCAGCUUUCGAUUGUAGGCUAUGCGCCUACAAUGGCUAUAACGGGUAACGGGGAAUCAGGGUUCGAUUCCGGAGAGGGAGCCUGAGAAACGGCUACCACA
rnacentral:rRNA from 1 species